GGCCGGUUAGCUCAGUUGGUUAGAGCGUGGUGCUAAUAACGCCAAGGUCGUGGGUUCGAUCCCCAUGUAUUUUUCU